GCCGGGGCGGCGACUACCAUGCAGUCGAGCGGAUGACGGGAGCUUGCUCCCUGAUUUAGCGGCGGACGGGUGAGUAAUGCCUAGGAAUCUGCCUGGUAGUGGGGGAUAACGUUCCGAAAGGAACGCUAAUACCGCAUACGUCCUACGGGAGAAAGCAGGGGACCUUCGGGCCUUGCGCUAUCAGAUGAGCCUAGGUCGGAUUAGCUAGUUGGUGAGGUAAUGGCUCACCAAGGCGACGAUCCGUAACUGGUCUGAGAGGAUGAUCAGUCACACUGGAACUGAGACACGGUCCAGACUCCUACGGGAGGCAGCAGUGGGGAAUAUUGGACAAUGGGCGAAAGCCUGAUCCAGCCAUGCCGCGUGUGUGAAGAAGGUCUUCGGAUUGUAAAGCACUUUAAGUUGGGAGGAAGGGCAUUAACCUAAUACGUUAGUGUUUUGACGUUACCGACAGAAUAAGCACCGGCUAACUUCGUGCCAGCAGCCGCGGUAAUACGAAGGGUGCAAGCGUUAAUCGGAAUUACUGGGCGUAAAGCGCGCGUAGGUGGUUCGUUAAGUUGGAUGUGAAAGCCCCGGGCUCAACCUGGGAACUGCAUCCAAAACUGGCGAGCUAGAGUACGGUAGAGGGUGGUGGAAUUUCCUGUGUAGCGGUGAAAUGCGUAGAUAUAGGAAGGAACACCAGUGGCGAAGGCGACCACCUGGACUGAUACUGACACUGAGGUGCGAAAGCGUGGGGAGCAAACAGGAUUAGAUACCCUGGUAGUCCACGCCGUAAACGAUGUCAACUAGCCGUUGGAAUCCUUGAGAUUUUAGUGGCGCAGCUAACGCAUUAAGUUGACCGCCUGGGGAGUACGGCCGCAAGGUUAAAACUCAAAUGAAUUGACGGGGGCCCGCACAAGCGGUGGAACAUGUGGUUUAAUUCGAAGCAACGCGAAGAACCUUACCUGGCCUU
rnacentral:rRNA from 1 species